AGGGAGGAAAGAACUAGGAGCUAGGGGGAAGGAUGACAGCCAGUGAGACAUAAUGCUCAUUAGAAUAUAAUAUCAAUAUUUAUGUUUCUCUCCAGUGUGCAUCUGGACUCCAUUCCUUUAGCCUGGAUCUGUAUUUUAAUAAUGCAAGUANNGCUGUGUUUUCCAUUUGAAUUUCACAUCAGAGUUCAGCUGCCUCAGCUAGCCCCCUCCUCACCCCUGAGGUUCUUCCAUUUGCAAGAUGGCUCAUGUUUCUCAAGACUUUGAUUCUGGAGAUGAAUUUUGUGUGUGGUGUGGGGAGUGCAGCAUGAAUAAAUACCACAGAAAUCCUUCUGCAUGUGACAGCCAUAGGGCUUUCUGCCUUGUAAGCAGGAGAGAAGGAUGCUUCAAAGUUUGGGGCAGUGUUGGGGGAGAGUGGGCAAACUGAGGAAAGACACCGGGAAGGAUGUCAUGGAAAGUUUAUGGAGAGUUUCACUUGGGUUAAAUGCCUUCAGUGUGAGAGAAGAGAUUUGGGAACCCUCCUCAGGUAUCAGAUGCCACUAGGGCUCAUCUGGCAAAGUUUGAGCCUUCACUAAUUAAAACUAAUCCAAUUGCACGAAGGAACAUAUGUUGCAUAAGGUUGCUGCUUGUGUGGCUUUAUUUUAACCCUUUCCCCAUAGCCUAAACCCAGCAAAUCAAAGCCUCGUGAUAGGGUGAGAGGUGAUAGUGAGAAAUGAGAUUCACUUCCAAACACAUUUGAGUAAAGACAGUGAAUGGUGUAGGCUAUAAAAGAGUGUUGGCUGGUCAGGGUAAAUUUUUGAAGCCCUUUUCGGUUUUCUUGAUGGAUUUGUCAGUUCUGAGUUUUUAAACAGCUAUUGAGUGAGAAGGAAAUNNNNNNCCACUCCAGUAUUCAUGCAUGGAGAACCAGGCAUGCCUGGACAUAGGAGCCUGGGGGGCUACAGUCCAUGGGGUUGCAGAGUCAUACAUGACUGAAGCGACUUAGCACAUUGAGUGAGAAGGAAAAUUAAAAAAUAAAACACAAAAACACCAAAACCUAAACCCUCCUUGACUUCUCAGGAUGGACUUGGUUUUCUUUCUAAACUGCUCUGCUUCUGUGGCCUGUUCACCUUGCUUGGGUCAGUCCCUCUUGAGGAAGCUUGAGUUCAGGGUUUAUACCCGGAGGG
rnacentral:lncRNA from 1 species